CAAUAGCGUAUAUUAAAGUUGUUGCAGUUAAAAAGCUCGUAGUUGGAUCUGUGGUGUGCGGUGUGCUCCGGGCACUUGUUGUCUGAGUAGCUCGCCGCUGCCAUCCUUGGGUGGAACCUGUGUGGCAUUAGGUUGUCGUGCAGGGGAUGCCCAUCGUUUACUGUGAAAAAAUUAGAGUGUUCAAAGCAGGCUUAUGCCGUUGAAUAUAUUAGCAUGGAAUAAUGAGAUAGGACUUUUUCGCUAUUUUGUUGGUUUGCGCGAAGAGGUAAUGAUUAAUAGGGACAGUUGGGGGUAUUCGUAUUCCAUUGUCAGAGGUGAAAUUCUUGGAUUUUUGGAAGACGAACUACUGCGAAAGCAUUUACCAGGGAUGUUUUCAUUAA
rnacentral:rRNA from 1 species